UACAGAGGGUGCAAGCGUUAAUCGGAUUUACUGGGCGUAAAGCGUGUGUAGGUGGCUUCCUAAGUCGGUUGUGAAAUCCCGUGGGCUCAACCUGGGAAUUGCAGUCGAUACUGGGAAGCUCGAGUUCGGUAGAGGGUGACGGAAUUCCCGGUGUAGCGGUGAAAUGCGUAGAUAUCGGGAGGAACAUCGAUGGCGAAGGCAAUCACCUGGCCUGAACUGACACUGUGACACGAAAGCGUGGGUAGCAAACAGGG
rnacentral:rRNA from 1 species